rnacentral:lncRNA from 1 species
UAAAUUUUAUUUUUAUUUUAUUUUAUGGUUCGUAAUAUGAUAGAAAUGUCAUGUGAAAAUUUUGAUAAGAAAAUUUUACUGAUUAUGUGUUUAAUUAUUAGAAGGACCAAAUCGUAUAAAAAGCAAAAAUUAAAUUCUAGUAGCUAGAAGGAUCAAAUAGCUAUGGAAUUCAAAACUUAAGGUCAUUAUAUGGUAAUUAGACCAUUAAUAAAAAGUUAGUAGAUAUUUUUGGAUGAUUC